GACGAACGCUGGCGGCGUGCUUAACACAUGCAAGUCGAACGGUAAGGCUCCAGCUUGCUGGGGUACACGAGUGGCGAACGGGUGAGUAACACGUGGGUGACCUGCCCUGCACUUCGGGAUAAGCCUGGGAAACUGGGUCUAAUACCGGAUAGGACCGCACCGUGAGGGUGUGGUGGAAAGUUUUUUCGGUGUGGGAUGGGCCCGCGGCCUAUCAGCUUGUUGGUGGGGUAAUGGCCUACCAAGGCGGCGACGGGUAGCCGGCCUGAGAGGGUGGACGGCCACAUUGGGACUGAGACACGGCCCAGACUCCUACGGGAGGCAGCAGUGGGGAAUAUUGCACAAUGGCGGAAGCCUGAUGCAGCGACGCCGCGUGGGGGAUGACGGCCUUCGGGUUGUAAACUCCUUUCACCAUCGACGAAGGGUUUCUGACGGUAGAUGGAGAAGAAGCACCGGCUAACUACGUG
rnacentral:rRNA from 1 species